rnacentral:rRNA from 1 species
CUACGGGACGCAGCAGUGGGGAAUAUUGCGCAAUGGGGGAAACCCUGACGCAGUGACGCCGUGUGAGUGAUGAAGGUUUUCGGAUCGUAAAGCUCUGUCAGACGGGAAGAAUAAGAACAGUAAAAAUAUUGCUGUUUGAUGACGGUACCGUCAGAGGAAGCACCGGCUAACUCCGUGCCAGCAGCCGCGGUAAUACGGGGGGUGCAAACGUUGUUCGGAAUUACUGGGCGUAAAGCGCAUGUAGGCGGAUAUGUAGGUCAGAUGUGAAAUCCCUUGGCUCAACCAAGGAAGUGCAUCUGAACCCCAUAUCUUGAGUACGAGAGAGGGAAGUGGAAUUCCCAGUGUAGAGGUGAAAUUCAUAGAUAUUGGGAAGAACACCGGUGGCGAAGGCGGCUUUCUGGCUCGUAACUGACGCUGAGAUGCGAAAGCGUGGGGAGCAAACAGGAUUAGAUACCCUUGUAGUC